GAUUUUGUGAAAGACUUUAAGGAAAAUCAAUUCUUUUAAUUUUCUUUCCUCCGGAAAACAUGCGCACUUUACAAAAAUAGAUUUUUGCUACGAACUGAUUAGAAAAAAGGUGAAUAUUGUAUUAAGCAAAAGAACGGAUAAGUUAAGCGAAAAUUUUCAUAAAUUUUAUAAGAGGCAUUCAUUUGAAAUGUAAAAAUUAAGUGAACAAUUAAUUAUUAAUGAAAACGAUAAUGAAAAUUAUUUGUAAUUAAUAACGAAAUUUGUGUCUUCGCGUAUUUUUACUUUAUUCGAAAAAUUUGAAUGAUAAUGAAAAGUAAACGCCUCUUACAACGCCAGCAGAAAGAGCAAAAUGCCCAAGAGGCAAUCUUUUAAGAUUUAAGCAUUAACAAUAUAAAGUGUAAGAAAUUCGAAUAACAUAAACAUAAGCGAAAAAUUUAUUGAUUUUUGUAUUAAGAAUUGAAUUUAAAAUGCAAAAAAUUUGAAAAAUAAGAAAAAUCAAUAAAUAAUUUGUCAAAAAGAAGAACCGAUUUAAUUACAAAUUUACAUAAUUUGAUAUUGUGUUUAAACACAGCCACAGGCAGAAAGCCUAUCAGAUACAGAGACCUAUUGGUCUUCACCUAUGUAGCGAUAAAAGAAAUACAAAAAAAAAAAAAAAAAAA